rnacentral:piRNA from 1 species
AUGUACAUGUGCUGCCAAUAAUAAU